CCUACGGGUGGCAGCAGUGGGGAAUAUUGCACAAUGGGCGCAAGCCUGAUGCAGCCAUGCCGCGCGUAUGAAGAAGGCCUUCGGGUUGUAAAGUACUUUCAGCGGGGAGGAAGGUGUUGUGGUUAAUAACCACAGCAAUUGACGUUACCCGCAGAAGAAGCACCGGCUAACUCCGUGCCAGCAGCCGCGGUAAAACGGAGGGUGCAAGCGUUAAUCGGAAUUACUGGGCGUAAAGCGCACGCAGGCGGUCUGUCAAGUCGGAUGUGAUAUCCCCGGGCUCAACCUGGGAACUGCAUUCGAAACUGGCAGGCUAGAGUCUUGUAGAGGGGGGUAGAAUUCCAGGUGUAGCGGUGAAAUGCGUAGAGAUCUGGAGGAGUACCGGUGGCGAAGGCGGCCCCCUGGACAAAGACUGACGCUCAGGUGCGAGAGCGUGGGGAGCAAACAGGAUUAGAUACCCGCGUAGU
rnacentral:rRNA from 1 species